CGGAUUGGAGUCUGCAACUCGACUCCAUGAAGUCGGAAUCGCUAGUAAUCGUGGAUCAGAAUGCCACGGUGAAUACGUUCCCGGGCCUUGUACACACCGCCCGUCACACCAUGGGAGUGGGUUGCAAAAGAAGUAGGUAGCUUAACCUUCGGGAGGGCGCUUACCACUUUGUGAUUCAUGACUGGGGUGAAGUCGUAACAAGGUAACCGUAGGGGAACCUGCGGUUGGAUCACC
rnacentral:rRNA from 1 species